CACACACAGGCGCGCGCGCGCGCGCGCACUCUGCACCGCGUGCUUCCCCUGCCGCUUGAGCUGUUCCGAGGCUGCGUUCCAGUGCCGCAGGGGCGUGGCUCAGUCACCACCUGGCACACCUGACUCUCAUCAUCAUCAAGCUCAGUACAAGAACCCCGGCUCUCCACUCACUCGUCACCAGAUUGAUCUGCUCUCUAUGUGGUAACUCGCCAGGCCCUCGUAUACUAGUGAAAGUAAACUUUACUGAUCUCUUGUUUGAGCUUCACUGAUAUCAUUCUCACCUAUGCCUCCUUCACCUCCAAUAAUUGCCAUAACCGGAGCUGAGCCUGCCUCUGCUGCGUCCUGUCCCCACCAGCUACCAUUCGCUCCAGCCUGCACCAGUUCUCCACCAGCUCCCCACCACAGGAUGCCAUCACCGCCCACCGGGAUUCCAUCUCUCCUGUUCAUCUCCAUGAUACACUCGGCCUGCAAGUACCCAGACUGGCUAAAGGCCAAAUAAAGAACUUUAUUGUACUCA